ACUCUUUCUGUGCACAGGAUACACCAUUAUAAGCAAAGGGAUUUCCCCAGGGUGAAACUAGUCCUGCGCGCUCCUGGCGUGCGGAGCCUUUGAUUUCACCAGACAGUGAAAACUCACUUGUAUUGCUUGUGGUAGUGGGGGCCUGUCUUUGCACUCCCCCUCG
rnacentral:snRNA from 13 species